rnacentral:lncRNA from 1 species
UCCUUCAACAUGUAUCAACUAGGAAACAAUGGAUGCCAAUAUUCUGUUUACCGUAUAAUAUGUCUGGUAUACUAGAAUUUCAUUACAAUUCAACUCUGUGGUGAUCAUCUGCUGUCAAAUUGGAGUACUGUUUUGAUUCUAAAUGUGCUUUGUUUUAUUUUUCUUGAAUUUCAAAUACUUGGAAAAUGAUUGUCGGUGUUCAUGUUUUACACAUGUGCCUUGUUAUGAGUUAAGGAGUUGGUGCUUUAUCUGGGUUAAGUAAGAUGAGAAAUAUGUUUGUGCUGCCAAUAUGGUUUGUAAUUUAUAUCUAAGUGUAAUAUAGAGAAUAAGCAUUGGAUUUGGCACGUUGACUUCAAAGAAUAGGCACUGAUUUUUUCCUAAUUGUGCAAAUGUCACAGCUUAUUAGAAGUUGUAAGGCGGUGACAACUGCACCCUGUUUGAUUCCUCGACCUUCAACUUCAGUU